UGGGUAUGCGGAGACAUUACUGAUUUGCUUAAUUGCACCACAUGUGUUUUUUAUUGAACAAAUUUCUUUGGUGGCGGGAGCAAUCCUACCGCCAGAGGUUAUAACUAAACCAAACUUUUUAUUUACAGUCAAACUUGAUUUAUUAUUACAAUAGUCAAAACUUUCAACAACGGAUCUCUUGGUUCUCGCAUCGAUGAAGAACGCAGCGAAAUGCGAUACGUAAUAUGAAUUGCAGAUAUUCGUGAAUCAUCGAAUCUUUGAACGCACAUUGCGCCCUUUGGUAUUCCAAAGGGCAUGCCUGUUUGAGCGUCAUUUCUCCCUCAAACCCCCGGGUUUGGUGUUGAGCAAUACGCUAGGUUUGUUUGAAAGAAUUUAACGUGGAAACUUAUUUUAAGCGACUUAGGUUUAUCCAAAAACGCUUAUUUUGCUAGUGGCCACCACAAUUUAUUUCAUAACUUUGACCUCAAAUCAGGUAGGACUACCCGCUGAACUUAAGCAUAUCAAUAAGGCGGAGGA
rnacentral:rRNA from 1 species